AUUGAACGCUGGCGGCAUGCCUUACACAUGCAAGUCGAACGGCAGCACGGACUUCGGUCUGGUGGCGAGUGGCGAACGGGUGAGUAAAGUAUCGGAACGUACCUUUCAGUGGGGGAUAACGUAGCGAAAGUUACGCUAAUACCGCAUAUUCUGUGAGCAGGAAAGCAGGGGAUCGCAAGACCUUGCGCUGAUGGAGCGGCCGAUAUCAGAUUAGCUAGUUGGUGAGGUAAAGGCUCACCAAGGCGACGAUCUGUAGCGGGUCUGAGAGGAUGAUCCGCCACACUGGAACUGAGACACGGUCCAGACUCCUACGGGAGGCAGCAGUGGGGAAUUUUGGACAAUGGGGGCAACCCUGAUCCAGCCAUGCCGCGUGAGUGAAGAAGGCCUUCGGGUUGUAAAGCUCUUUCGGCCGGGAAGAAAUCGUAUCAGCUAAUACCUGGUGCGGAUGACGGUACCGGCAUAAGAAGCACCGGCUAACUACGUGCCAGCCGCCGCAGUAACAC
rnacentral:rRNA from 1 species